AAUCAACGCUGGCGGCGUGCCUAACACAUGCAAGUCGAACGAGAAAGUGGAGCAAUCCAUGAGUACAGUGGCGACCGGGUGAGUAACACGUGACUAACCUACCUUCGAGUGGGGGAUAACUCCGGGAAACCGGGGCUAAUACCGCAUAACAUCGCAAGAUCAAAGCAGCAAUGCGCUUGAAGAGGGGGUCGCGGCUGAUUAGCUAGUUGGCGGGGUAACGGCCCACCAAGGCGAAGAUCGGUAUCCGGCCUGAGAGGGCGCACGGACACACUGGAACUGAAACACGGUCCAGACUCCUACGGGAGGCAGCAGUGGGGAAUUUUGCGCAAUGGGGGAAACCCUGACGCAGCAACGCCGCGUGGAGGAUGAAGCCCCUUGGGGUGUAAACUCCUUUCGACCAAGACGAUAAUGACGGUACUGGUGGAAGAAGCACCGGCUAACUCUGUGCCAGCAGCCGCGGUAAUACAGAGGGUGCGAGCGUUGUUCGGAAUUAUUGGGCGUAAAGGGCGCGUAGGCGGCGCGGUAAGUCACCUGUGAAAUCUCCGGGCUCAACUCGGAGCCUGCAGGCGAAACUGCCG
rnacentral:rRNA from 1 species